rnacentral:rRNA from 1 species
GACGAACGCUGGCGGCGUGCUUAACACAUGCAAGUCGAACGGUAAGGCCCUUCGGGGUACACGAGUGGCGAACGGGUGAGUAACACGUGGGUGGUCUGCCCUGCACUUCGGGAUAAGCCUGGGAAACUGGGUCUAAUACCGGAUAGGACCACUGCCUGCAUGGGUGGUGGUGGAAAGCUUUUGCGGUGUGGGAUGGGCCCGCGGCCUAUCAGCUUGUUGGUGGGGUGAUGGCCUACCAAGGCGACGACGGGUAGCCGGCCUGAGAGGGUGACCGGCCACACUGGGACUGGGAUACGACCCAGACUCCUACGGGAGGCAGCAGUGGGGAAUAUUGCACAAUGGGCGCAAGCCUGAUGCAGCGACGCCGCGUGAGGGAUGACGGCCUUCGGGUUGUAAACCUCUUUCAGCACCGACGAAGCGCAAGUGACGGUAGAUGCAGAAGAAGGACCGGCCAACUACGUGCCAGCAGCCGCAGUAA